rnacentral:rRNA from 1 species
UACGUAGGAGGCAAGCGUUGUCCGGAAUUAUUGGGCGUAAAGCGCGCGCAGGCGGCGAUUUAAGUCUUCUGUUUAAUGCAUGGGCUCAACCCGUGUUCGCAGAGGAAACUGGGUGGCUGGAGUGCAGGAGAGGAAAGUGGAAUUCCACGUGUAGCGGUGAAAUGCGUAGAGAUGUGGAGGAACACCAGUGGCGAAGGCGACUCUUUGGUCUGUAACUGACGCUGAGGCGCGAAAGCGUGGGGAGCAAACAGG